CGUGGUGAUCAUAUCGCAGGGGACCCACCCGUUCUCAUCCCGAACACGGAAGUUAAGCCCUGCAGAGCCGAGAGUAGUGUGACGGACACGUCAUGUGAGGGUAGGACGUCGCCACUU
rnacentral:rRNA from 1 species